AGUGCGGGAAAGAAAUACACCCCAUUUCUUUUGGACCGCCGAUGAAAUUUAAUAUUUGGCUUUUAGUAAAAGCAUAUUCUUCGCUUCCACUGCUUUAGAGACGGAAUUAGAGACGCUUCCACUGCUUUAGGUCAGGAAUUUGCGACAUCAGAAGAAAAGCAAUUACUAAAAGGGAGAUGCCCGCAGAGAGGAAACUGGUAGCCUAUCUGAUCAUUUCUGUCCUGUGCGCAAUAAGCCCAGCUGUGAAUGCAUCCUCGGGAGCACGAUGGUAUAGGAGUGACUGCUGGAGAUCUGACUGCUAUAGAGGCAACCCUUGUCCAAUUCCUUGCCAGUGUCCUGGAAUUAUUCAGCGCCUCUUUGGACGCUACACUUGUUAUUGAUGGAGGUCCCAGCUGAAACUUAUAGGAGGUCAAAAUAAACGCUGUUGCAAAAAUC